GCGCAAUCACUUGUCUCUUAAAUGGGGACCUGUAUGAAUGGCACCACGAGGGUUUAACUGUCUCCUCUUUCAAGUCAAUGAAAUUGAUCUCCCCGUGCAGAAGCGGAGAUAAACACAUAAGACGAGAAGACCCUAUGGAGCUUUAGACACUAAAGCAGAUUAUAUUCACAACCCUCAAAACCUGGACCAACUUAAAUAACCCCUGCCCUAAUGUCUUCGGUUGGGGCGACCACGGAGUAAUAAAAAACCCCCGUGUGGACCAGGAACAUAACUUCUUCCAGAGACAAGAGCUCCCGCUCUAGUAAACAGAACUUCUGACUAAAAAUGAUCCAGCAACGCUUAUCAACGGACCAAGUUACCCUAGGGAUAACAGCGCAAUCUCCUUUUAGAGUUCAUAUCGACAAGGUGGUUUACGACCUCGAUGUUGGAUCAGGACAUCCUAAUGGUGCAGCAGCUAUUAAGGGUUCGUUUGUUCAACGACUAAAGUCCUACGUGAUCU
rnacentral:rRNA from 1 species